ACACUAGUUUAGUGUAGUGCAUACACUAAAAUUGGAAUGAUACAGAGAAAAUUAGCAUGGCCUCUAUGCAAGGUUAACACACAAAUUCGUGAAGUGUCCAAAUUUUUU